UUAGAAGAAGUAAAAGUCGUAACGAGGUUUCCGUAGGAGAAUCUGCGGGUGGAACAUCAACGAGUUUGAAAUCGUGAGCAUAUUGCUUGGGCGGAAACGCACAUCGCUCACGGCUCCCGUGCUCAAUCCAUUUCAACCCCCUUGUGCACCUUAUCGAAGUCAGUAGUCUUUCUCUUUUUGUUUGCCGGUUGUGUGCGGGAACCUCUUUCUGUUCACUUGGCCGGCGAGGAGAAAUAGAGGGUCGAAAGCUUUGACUUUUCUGUUAAACACUUUGUAUGUCUUGUGGAACGUAUUAGCUCCUUUGUAGGGGCGAAAUAAAUACAACUUUCAACAACGGAUCUCUUGGCUCUCGCAUCGAUGAAGAACGCAGCGAAAUGCGAUAAGUAAUGUGAAUUGCAGAAUUCAGUGAAUCAUCGAAUCUUUGAACGCACCUUGCGCCCCUUGGUAUUCCGAGGGGCAUGCCUGUUUGAGUGUCAUGUUAAUCUCAAACCCCUUGUCUUUUUUGUGGACUUGGUCGGUUUGGACCUUGAGGUGUCGCUGCCGUGCGUCGGCUCCUCUUAAUUGCAUUAGCUGGACUUUGGUUCGCAUUUGACGGUGUAAUAGUAAAGUGUUCGCCGGGCGUGCUUGCCUAGCGGGUCUGCUUCUAAUCGUCUUCGGACAACUCUGUUCAUUUUGACCUUGACCUUUAGUCAGGUAGCACUACCCGCUGAACUUAAGCAUAUCGAUAAGCGGAGGAAAAGAAACUAACGAGGAUUCCACUAGUAACUGCUCGUGAAGCGACUAGGAGCUCAAAUUUAAAAUCUGGCAACUUUCGAUCGGCCGAGUUGCAAUCUGCCGAGUCAU
rnacentral:rRNA from 1 species